GCUGGCGGCAGGCUUACACAUGCAAGUCGAGCGGGGUGAUGGUGCUUGCACUAUCACUUAGCGGCGGACGGGUGAGUAAUGCUUAGGAAUCUGCCUAUUAGUGGGGGACAACAUCUCGAAAGGGAUGCUAAUACCGCAUACGUCCUACGGGAGAAAGCAGGGGAUCACUUGUGACCUUGCGCUAAUAGAUGAGCCUAAGUCGGAUUAGCUAGUUGGUGGGGUAAAGGCCUACCAAGGCGACGAUCUGUAGCGGGUCUGAGAGGAUGAUCCGCCACACUGGGACUGAGACACGGCCCAGACUCCUACGGGAGGCAGCAGUGGGGAAUAUUGGACAAUGGGGGGAACCCUGAUCCAGCCAUGCCGCGUGUGUGAAGAAGGCCUUAUGGUUGUAAAGCACUUUAAGCGAGGAGGAGGCUCUUUUGGUUAAUACCCAAGAUGAGUGGACGUUACUCGCAGAAUAAGCACCGGCUAACUCUGUGCCAGCAGCCGCGGUAAUACAGAGGGUGCAAGCGUUAAUCGGAUUUACUGGGCGUAAAGCGCGCGUAGGCGGCCAAUUAAGUCAAAUGUGAAAUCCCCGAGCUUAACUUGGGAAUUGCAUUCGAUACUGGUUGGCUAGAGUGUGGGAGAGGAUGGUAGAAUUCCAGGUGUAGCGGUGAAAUGCGUAGAGAUCUGGAGGAAUACCGAUGGCGAAGGCAGCCAUCUGGCCUAACACUGACGCUGAGGUGCGAAAGCAUGGGGAGCAAACAGGAUUAGAUACCCUGGUAGUCCAUGCCGUAAACGAUGUCUACUAGCCGUUGGGGCCUUUGAGGCUUUAGUGGCGCAGCUAACGCGAUAAGUAGACCGCCUGGGGAGUACGGUCGCAAGACUAAAACUCAAAUGAAUUGACGGGGGCCCGCACAAGCGGUGGAGCAUGUGGUUUAAUUCGAUGCAACGCGAAGAACCUUACCUG
rnacentral:rRNA from 1 species